rnacentral:rRNA from 1 species
CCUACGGGAGGCUGCAGUGAGGAAUAUUGGUCAAUGGCCGUAAGGCUGAACCAGCCAAGUCGCGUGAAGGAAGAAGGAUCUAUGGUUUGUAAACUUCUUUUAUAGGGGAAUAAAGGUAUCCACGUGUGGAUAUUUGCAUGUACCCUAUGAAUAAGCAUCGGCUAACUCCGUGCCAGCAGCCGCGGUAAUACGGAGGAUGCGAGCGUUAUCCGGAUUUAUUGGGUUUAAAGGGUCCGUAGGUGGUUUUUUAAGUCAGCGGUGAAAGUUUGGGGCUCAACCAUAGAAGUGCCGUUGAAACUGGAAGACUUGAGUGUGGUUGAGGUAGGCGGAAUGCGUGGUGUAGCGGUAAAAUGCAUAGAGAUCACGCAGAACUCUGAUUGCGAAGGCAGCUUACUAGGCCAUAACUGACACUGAUGCACGAAAGCGUGGGGAGCAAACAGGAUUAGAUACCCCAGUAGUC